CAGUAGCCGCGGGAAAACGGAGGGAGCUAGCGUUAUUCGGAAUUACUGGGCGUAAAGCGCACGUAGGCGGCUUUGUAAGUUAGAGGUGAAAGCCUGGAGCUCAACUCCAGAAUUGCCUUUAAGACUGCAUCGCUUGAAUCCAGGAGAGGUGAGUGGAAUUCCGAGUGUAGAGGUGAAAUUCGUAGAUAUUCGGAAGAACACCAGUGGCGAAGGCGGCUCACUGGACUGGUAUUGACGCUGAGGUGCGAAAGCGUGGGGAGCAAACAGGAUUAGAUACCCCUGUAGUCCCUGUCUCUUAUAC
rnacentral:rRNA from 1 species